rnacentral:lncRNA from 1 species
CAAGGGCGGCGAGCUCUGCGGGCGGAGGCAUCGCGACAGUACCGAAGCCGACGUAGGCGGCGGAGGCGGGAGGGUGUUGGUCGAGCCAGGAGAGGCAGUUGCUCGGGUCGGGAUCGGCGAGAGGGUGCGGGGGAUCAGCGAGGAGGUGGAGGGGGCCGAUGGGGAAGUAGUGAUCAAAUUCGGAAGCUAAGGCGGCAUCGGCGGUCACGUCAAAGCCGAGGAACGUGUUGAGGACGAGGGCGGCGGUGGUGGGCGGGCGGCGGAGGAGGCGGUCGGCCACGGUGCGGAGGAGGAGGACGAUCUCGGGGUAGGGGGGGCCGGAGACGAUCCCUUCGGGGAGGUCGCGCACACGGUGGUGCGCGGAGAGGCCCGCGACGAAGUCGAGAGGGUCGUCGCCGUGAGUUUCCAUUGCUAUGGAAAUCAAUGGAACAGUAACACUUUCUAGCUAGUACAAAUUGUAACUCGGAAGUACUGUUAAAAUAAAAUAACUUAAAAUAAAAUAGAAUAUCAUUAUUAUAUAGUACGAGGUUUCGAGUGAGAUGCACAUCAGAUUCUAAUUUUAAAAGUUUCUCUCCAUUACGAAUCAAAAAAAAAUUUCGAAUCCAAACUUUAAACAAAGUGUUAAGAAAAUAUUCAGUAAAAAUAGUUUCCCCUCCAUCUAAGUAUUUAAGUACAUAAUCCUUCGUGCCAAUUAACCCACAUAUAUAAUAUAAGAUUUAUCCACGUCCAAAUUGAGAGUCUCCAAGUUUCACUUUUCCAAACCACUUAUUAUGCAAGGAAAAAUAUGAAAAUAAAAAUCUCGAGGGAUUAAUGGAAAGUGAGUACGUAAUUGUUUACCAAGUUCGAGUCCAAUUUGACUAAUUAAACACCCUCUUACUCUAACCACUCAAAAAAUAAGGAUAAAAGUAAAAAUAAACUAUUAUUGACUUUAGGCCUCUACUAGUUUGGUUUGAAUCAAACUAUAUAUAUAUAUUUUUAAAAAAAACAUAUAGAAUUUAAAAGUAUAAAAAAUUAAAUUACUUCUAUUUAAAUUGAUAUUUUAAUUAAAAAAUUUUAAAAUUAAUAAAAGGAAUUAUAAAAUAACAAAUAUUUAAUUUUAAAAAAUUUAUAAAUUAUAUUUUCAAAAAAAAAAAAGAAUUGGGAGAGUCCGGACAGGCCUCCUCUCGGCCCAACACGAUUCAGGCCGGGUCGUCGGGCGAAUACGUACCAAUGUGAAUAUUUGAUAAACUAUACAUCGAGUAAGUAAAAAUUUUUAUAUAUAAUUUAACGAGAAAUUAAUAAAGUAACUAAUGAAAAAAAUAAAAUAAAAUAAUAAAGGACUAAAUUUAUACAAGUAAAUUGAUACAAGGGAAUACUAAAUAAGAAAGUACGAAACUCGUACUACGUACUACGUACGUACAUUGUAUUUAAAGUUUACUGUACCGAGCGAUGGAGUACCUUGGGGUCCUAGGCCGAACGUGGUGCGAAGGAGAUCCCUGUGGAGGUGCGCGACGAGGCUGUGGGGCCCGCUGGUCCAGAGCGGGACCCACGGCACCCCGAUCUUCUCCGCCGCCGCCCCCGCCGCCAACACGAACGAGUCGCUCACCACGCAGCUCACCUCCUCCUCCGCCGCCGCCGCCGCCGCCGCCGCUGCUGCGAACCUCUCGAUCCGCCGCAUCUCCUCCUCCUCUCCGUCCCCUUCCCCCUCGGGGAUGGCGACGAGGCGGAGGUUGGGGACCCGAUCGCAGCCGCCGCGGAGCGGGGCGAGGUGCCGCGCCGUGCAGAGGAAGGAGAACGUGGCGGCGGCGGAGGGGCAGCAGGCGAGGGCGAGGGCGCGGGCGAGGGCCAGGAGCGGCGCCGCGUGGCUGCCGGAGGGGAACGCCACGACCACCACGUGGGGGCGGCGGCGGAGGCGGCGGUCGCCGUCGUCGUCGGAGGCGGAGGAGCCCAUUUUGCUCAAUUUCUAGGGUGGAGGGGCGCAGGAGAGGAGGAGGAGGAGGAAUAGGAGGAGGAGGAGGUCGUGGUGGUGUUCUCGGACCGCGACGUACCCAUUGUAAUGAAGGGUCCGGUGUUCUCGGACCGUUGGGGUAGCUACUUCACGUGAAGAGCUACCUCCGCUCCAAAAUUUCUCUUUUGCCACUGUGGGUGAGAUAUUUCCGGAAUAGUACUUAUCAGCCGUCGUGCUCUUAAUUUAUUUUCGAUAAUGAAAUUUUCGAAUCCAUAGUCUAUCUAUAUUAAGAAAAAUAUUAAUUAGUUGAUUGUAAUUAUUUUUACUAUUUAUCGUUGUAUAUCUUUUCUAUAAAUAGGAGAUGGCAUAGGUUAAUUAUAGGACGAGAUUAGCAUAAUUAUAGGUUGAGAUUGAUUCUUAUUCUUGUAUAUAUCAUGCACUUUUCUAAUGAAAUAAACACAAUACUGUAAACCAUUAUCUUCUUCCAUUUUACAAUCUAGUAUAUUUAAAGUAUCUAAAAAAAUAAUUUUUACAAUUAAUUGAUUCUGAUUGUCAAAUUUGAUUAUAUUUGAAAAAAAUGUAAUUGUAAAUAUAAUGUGAAUGCAAAUGAAUAUUUAUAACACCAUAGUUAUUUUAUAUUUUUGAUGUCUUAGUUAUGCAAUUUGUAUAUAAAUUCUGUUCCUAUUAGAAACAUUUUAAAUUGUACUGAUUGUGACACCUUGAACGUAUAGGAAAAAUUCUAUUCGUUCGGUUGGCGCGCCAGAAUCCGACCAAAGUGACAAUGUCGGGGCGUGUUUCGAUAUCAUUUACCUUGUGGUUCAAAGGACUCAAAAUUAACGGUUGAAAUUAAAAAUUUCACAAAAGAUUAUGAUGUAGUACUAAAAUUUUCAAUCAGAGAUAUUAAUCUUCUUGUAGAUAGUAUAAAAAAAAUUUUAUCAAAAUUUUAUCUGAUUUGAAUAUUCUACACCGUUAAACUUACAAACGGCACACUUCAAUCGUUAAAAAUUAUUCAUUUUGAAUCUUUCGAACGUUAGAUCAAGUUUAACGAAAUCGAUCGUUGAUUCAAAAAUUUCAUCAUCGAAAACGGUUAAUUUUCUAGAUUAAUUUUAAAUCUCGAUUUCGAUAAAUAAUUAAAUUCGGUAGCCUCUCAAGGAUUGGUCGCUGAAGGUGCCACGUCCUACGUGCCAAGUGUGUGGGGGAAAUUGAGAAAUGCCUAACCCCUCUUUCCACCUACUUAAUUUGCUAGGAUUUUAGUCCCCCUUUUAUCUCCAAACAAAAAUUUUUGGGGAUGGUGUUUGUUAACCCCACCCUUAACGGAUUAUCCUUAACAAACCCCACCCCCCUUAGAAUUGAGGUGGAAUUAAGUUAAUCCCAUCGCAAUUUAAUUUUUAAUAUAAAUUUAUAAUUAUAAUUAUAAUUAUAAUUUUUAAAUCUUACAAAUUUAUAAUUUGUAAUCUUAAAAUUAAUAUUAAUAUUUUUAAAUUUUAAAUUUUAUUUUUAAUCGCUUAAAUUUUAAAGUUGACAUUUUGUAUUUGAAAUUUAAAAAUGUAUAAUUUGCAAUAUUUAUAUUAAUAUUUAUUGUUUAAAAUUUUAAAUUUUAAAAUUUUAAUUUUAAAGUAUUAUUUAUAAUUAUUUAAAUUUUAAAUUUAAUAUUUUAUAUUAGAAAUUUUAAAAAUUUAUAAUUUGUAAUCUUAAAAUAUAUAUAUUUAUAUUCUUAAAUUUUAAAUUUUAAAAUUUAAGUUGUUAUUUUUAAUUAUUUAAAUUUUAUAUUUUAUAUUUUAUAUUUGAAAUUUUAAAAAUUUAUAAUUUGUAAUCUUUAAAAUAUAUAUUUAUAUUCUUAAAUUUUCAAUUUUCAAUUUUAAAUUGUUAUUUUUAAUUAUUUAAACUUUAAAUUUGGUAUUUUAUAUGUGAAAUUUUAUAUUUGUUAGAUUUGAUUAAAAUUUAUAACUUUAAAUUUUUAAAUUUGAGAUUUAAAAAUAUAGAUUUUAAUUUUGAAUUUUUAAUUUUAAAAGUUAUCUAUUUAAAUUUUAAAUUUUAAAUAUAAAAUAAAAAAUUAGAAUUCAAAUAUAAUAAUUGGGGCAAUAUCAUUAUUUUCUAUUCAUAACUAUCCAUUACCCUACUUAUUCCACUUACUUCAACCAAAUACUAUUUUGCUUAUAUAUGGACUAAACCCAAUUCUCAAUCAAACACAAAAUUACUCUAACCCACCUUAACCCUGAACUUAACCCUAUUCCUGAAAUAACUAGUUCUUAUUUAAUCCCGAACCAAACGAAGCGAUAGAGAUCACCUCGCAGCGGUGGCGGAAGAAAUAACCAAGAACACAAUGAGUGUGUGGAUGGAAAGCGUUGACCAACAAUUCCAAAAGCACAUUCGGAUAAGAAUGACGCACUUAUCGCAUUUAAGGACUCAGUUACAGUGGUAACGGGCUUCGACCUGACUCAAUCCAUCUGGACGUUCGGUCUAUUAUUUUGGAGUCUCUUACCAAUAGGUCUCUUGUGGACCAUAAUUCCACUCAACUUAUUAGACUCAUCCAGCUUGACUUAUUAAUCUUCUGAGUUUAUUGUAACAUGACAGAAAAUUAGACUUUUUUUGCCCCAACAAUAAAUGAGUAAUGCUUCUAUACUUUUUUUUUUUUGUUACCGUUCAUUCACGCGUAUUCAAUGGCUCAGAUUUAAUUUUUUUAAAAUUGUGACCUGCAAUAGCAGGUCACUUUGGGAGAGGUACCGGUUACCAGGUACCUCAAAAAAGGAUAUUUUUGUCUUUUAAUACAUGGGCAAUUUAGUUAUUUUACAUCUACUAUAUUUUUAAAAUUUUUAUUUUUUCUUUGUUUCAUUUUUCUCUCUCUAUCUUUCCUUUCAUAAUUUGGCUUUCAUAUAAGGAAAAGUUCAAAUGAUUUGACAAUAUGAUCAUUGAAUUUAAACUUUAAAUAGUAAUAUGAAAUUCCUCUAAUUUAAAUUUCACUUUUAAAUUUAAAAUUUAAUAUUAUAUUCAAAUUUAUAUUUUAAAAAUUUAAGUUUCAUAUAAAUACUUUGAAAUAUGGUAAACAGAAAUAAUUGUUUGAAUUCUAGUCUUCUGGUUUAGGUUUGGUUUUGGGUUUCGAAAAAUUGGUCAGUUUUGAAUUUGGAUAUGGAUUUUUGAAAUCCGUCGAGUUCGGAAAUAAGUUUUGUGAUUGUUAGUCAGAUUCGAAUUCAAAUUCCUAACUAUUUUUUUUCUCACCAAUAAUUCUAAUCUUUUUAAUUUAUAUGUUUAAAAUUAUAUUUAAAAUAUUUAUUAGCUCUAACAGUUAAAUUAUUAUUCUGUUUAAAAUAUUUAUUAUCUUUACCGGUUCCAAAUUGUUCUUAAUGUUAUUCGGUUCAAUAGGUUAAAAUCAGAUUCUUGAUAGAAUAGGUCAAAGUCUGAUCAGUCAAAUCAAUCGGUUCAAUCUAGUUUUUAAAUCAUUGAAUUUAAAAUUUAAAUAGUAAUAUGAAAUUCCUCUAGAGAAAUCUAGUUGUAGAAAUCUUACUCUCUAAGUUUUUUAUACAUUACGUUUUAAACUGGUGCGAAUACACUGUAUUUGAAAUCUUGGUAGAAAUUUAGUUUUUAAAUAGUAAUAUGAAAUUCCUCUAAUUUAAAUUUCACUUUUAAAUUUUAAGUAUUUAAUUUUUAAAAUUUAAAUUCAUCGCAUUUAGAAAUAAAACUAUUUCUAAAAUUUCUAUAAUUUAAAUUAAUGCAUAAUUUGAGAAACAUUAAAACAUUUAAAGUAGAUUCCUAAAUUAAUGCCUAAUAAUUGCAUAAAUUUGGUUAAUCAAUUAAUUUUGUAAAUUAGUGCUAAUUAAUGCAUAAAUUUAGGACCUCAAUUAAUUAAAAGUUUCUUUAAAUAUUAUAUUAUUUAAUUACCAAAUUAACCUUGAAUAAAAUAAUCCUUUUACCUGCUAAGUAUUAAAGUUACAUUUUUACCCUCUAUUAAUCAACGGUUAAGAUUUUUUUUUAUUUUUUUUUUUAAAAAAGUACCGAAUCAUUUCUCAUAGCCAACAGAGUGUGCUGUGAAUGGGAGGAAUUUGCAAACACUAGGUGCGUCAGCGGUCGAAAGAAUGCAACUCCACAUGCAGCUCCAAGGCCUCUACAACCCCUUGAUCUCUUUCUACAACUACAUUAAUCCUUUACUGUGGCAGCAGCAGCUUCCUUCACUGGAAGGAGUCUUAGAAUCCAAUGAACAAAAUGUUUUGGAACACAAACAUGACAUACCAUGUAGCACUGUUGGUGCAACUAUGCAAGAGAAAAUGGAUAGCUCGGAAUCAGGUUUUCCUUCACCAUCGGUGCGGAGAACUCGAGCCCAAACUUGAGCUCCACGGCCGUGCCGCUUCAGACGGAGCUUCACGAGUUGCUCUUCAGCAAGAAUAGCGGUUGCUUUGAAGCGCAAGGGGAGCAUCGGUCGAUCGGACCAGAGUGGUUUAAAGCGAUGGUCAGCGGAGAAGAUGAGAUUACGAGUUGGUGGGCCGUGAACAGCUUCGACGAUGUAUCGCCAUUGGCUUCGAAUUCUUGGGGUUCUGCUUUGGCUCACCAUCCCGAAACCAUGUUUCAUAACUAUGUAUUCGGGCAAGAUCGAUCUAUAUAUAGGCGUUGAUCGACAAAGUUGAGAAUUUUGAUUUUGAUGAUGUGCAAGUUAUUCAAUGCGUGAAGUUUGAGUCGAAAAACAUAUGUUGUUUAUAUGUGAAUUAUAGUACUAUAAUGUAUUAAUCCAGCUUUAAUUUGGAUUAUUCUUGAUCUCCCUCUCCUUCCAUGAGGUGUUUCUUUCUUCUUCUUCUUCUUUUUUUCCCCCUCUCUUGUGCAAUUGAACAUUCUCUAUGGAAUUAAUAUUUAGUUUUUAAAUUAAUAGUAGUAAGUUAAUUAUGAGAUCCACUGUGGCUAGUUUCUUCUUAAUUGUUGUUCUUUUGUAAUGAGAUACAAUUUGGUUUUGUAUAUAAAUCAAUUAGCUCAUAUGCACAAACUUUUGGGCUCCAUUUUGGGCCCUUUCGUCUUGUAGAUUUCAAAUGGGCUCAAAUUAGCCCAAGACCAUGUCUACAUAUUCAAAAUUUAUUGAGUCUAUAAUAAUUAGGUACCAAUGUACGGAGACCUCGGACCUUCUCAACUCUUUGACUUUUUGGAAUUGAGUAAUUUUAGUCAAAAAAAAAAAAAGAAAAGAAAAAGAAAAAGAAAACAAACAAAAAAAGAAGAAGAAGAAGAAGAAGAAGAAGAAGAAGAGAUUUUAGCAAAAUAUAGUAAUGUUUAUUAUUAAUAUCAUACGUAGUACGUAGUAACGGGAUAAGCCAUGCAUGCAUGGUAUAUAUAAGCUUUCACCCUAAUCCUAACCACAAACAAGCUUCAACAAUUUCUUAAGAUUCUCCGACGAACUCCCUCCGACCCCCGUCGCCGCCGCGGCCUUAGCCUUGAUCUCCCGGGCCCGCUCCCUCAUCCUCCUCCCCUCCUCCCCCCUCAAAACCACGUCCAGCGCCCCCGCCACCACCUCCUCGGCAGCAAUGCCGCCGCGCAGCGCGACUCCGAUCCCCCACACGCUCUCCACCGCCCUCGCGUUCAUCCGCUGGUCCCCGAAGAUGGGCCGGCACACCAUUGGCACCCCCGCAGCGACGCUCUCGAGCACCGAGUUCCACCCGCAGUGGCUCACGAAUGCUCCGACCACCGCGUGCCCCAGCACUGCCUUCUGCGGGGCCCAGCUCACCACCAGCCCGGUCCCGUUUGCCCGCACCCGGUCCGAAAACCCGGGAGGCAGAAGCUCUUGCGCGCUCUCCUUCAGUGACCACACAAACGGAGCUCGGCUCAAUUCUAGACCUUUGGCAAGGGCGGCGAGCUCUGCGGGCGGAGGCAUCGCGACAGUACCGAAGCCGACGUAGGCGGCGGAGGCGGGAGGGUGUUGGUCGAGCCAGGAGAGGCAGUUGCUCGGGUCGGGAUCGGCGAGAGGGUGCGGGGGAUCAGCGAGGAGGUGGAGGGGGCCGACGGGGAGGUAGUGAUCAAAUUCGGAGGCGAAAGCAGCGUCGGCGGUCGGAUCGAAGCCAAGGAACGUGUUGAGGACGAGGGCGGCAGCAGUGGGCGGGCGGCGGAGGAGGCGAUCGGCCAUGCAGCUGAG